rnacentral:lncRNA from 1 species
UGUGUGUGAGAUAUCUAAAUGCAGAGUGACAAGUCGAUUAAAUAGUAAAGAGGAAAGUUUCGUUUUGAGUUUUGUCUCCAAUUGGUAUCAAUUUCAUAAUUGGAAGGAAAUCCUAAAAAAGCAAUGUAAACAAUUGGGACACUGUAGGUCCCUGUGAGCAAGCAGAAGAUUCCAAAAGCCCAACCUCGGUACUGCCAAGCCCUACCCAGGGGACACACAGAAGCAGGCAGCUGCCUCCUCUGCCUCUUCAAUUGCUCUGUGCAUCUUAACCACUUUAGAUAGAAAUUAGAUUUAAUUCCUGCAGGAGUUCCAAAUGCUAAGAUUUGUUAUCUAGGGAGGCCAUACCACCAGAUUUUUAUGACUUUCCAACAGUCUUCCCCAGGCUUCGUUUGUCUCUCAGGGUCAUGGUCGCAAGCUCGUGGACUGGCCCCUGGGAAUGUCAGAUAGUCCUGCUCCCCUCCAGGCAACCUAGACCCUAUUCUUUCUUUCUUUUUUCCCUAUUAUUUCUUUCUCAACUCCAGCUAAGGCUGCAGUUUUAUUUCUCUCUUCAUCCGCGAUGGCCGUUUCUCUCACUCAGCCGUUUCACACGUUGAGUUCACCUUUUACCUGCACGGGAAGUGCUACUGAGACAGUACUGACACAACGAUGCGUUGACCCAAACCCACUCAAUGUGUUUUAUGUGCCACAGGAAGGGAAGGAAAAUUAUACUCGUUGAAUUUCCAUUACGCAUCAGAUACGUGUCUAAGACCUUCCCCAUGCGUUAUUUGUUUGAUAUAAUUGAUACGGUGGUUUGCCCAUCAUCCUCCGUCUGUGCCAGCACUUCCCAGGGGCUACGGUGGAAUUCCGUUCAAUUAAAUAUCUUCCUCCCAGCAGCACAUCCCGCCUCUUAAUCCAGAUGAACCUCAAGUCCAGCUCACUUGCCCCUGCUUUCUCCACUGCUGUCUUCCCAAGGUCCCCUCUGCCUUUCCUAUUCUUUCCUGAUUCCAAUCUUUCUACAUGAAGCUCUGAUCUCAUCUCCCAAUUCAAGAAAGUUCUAAAUGAAAUGCAUCCGUCCCUCAGAUGCUGAGAGUGACCCCACCGAGAGGGAGAAAUUGUGGUAAAACUGACUUUCUAACGUCCCUACCAUUUUUCUAAAUUCAUCUGUUUUGAAUCAAAGGCUCACAUUAAGUGAAUGUGAUUCUCCCAACAGGAUAAAAAUGAAUGUAUAGCACUUACCACACAGUUUCUCCAAGCUUUUCUUCCACGUUUUCUUUCCAAGUGGCGAAGGACUCUGCUAAAAGAGAAGUUGCUAAAAUACGCCAGUGUUCCUCGAAAGAUUAGGGAGUAAAGAUAAGAAUCAUAGAUCAAAAAAAUGAAUGAACAGUCACAUAAGCAGCCCUGAGGAGAUUUCUGGGAGCUGCUGAAAAGCGGGGAAUCCUGAUCCCUCUAUGUGGAAACUCGAAUGCACACACACACACACACACAAACACACACACCCCCACCCGUCACCAUUUACCCUCUGUUGUAGCAUUUAAAAAUCUAAUGUGCUUCAUUGCCUCCAUUUUUGCACAUGUUGAAUUUCCAAGCAUAAAAGCUGUAAAACACACACGUACACACACACACACACACACACACACACAAGCACACACACAUCAAUUUUUGCAAUAGGAUUCUUGAUAUUAGGUGCUGGAUGAGACUGGUUUUUUUAAAACAGUUAUGGCCCUGGAAAAAAAGGUGCUAAGUUCCUAAAAGAACUGUGAGAGACUGGUCCAGUCACCUCCCUGAGGCUUGAUGCCCUAAGGCAUUUCCAUUCCGUCUUCUCAUCCCUCAGCAACAUAACCCCUAAAAGAGGAAGCAUCCUGUGUUAAGAAACUAGCCCCUCCCUUUAGCUCCCCCUACUGGUAAGAGAGGACGUCUACUUCCUGACUCCAAAGGAGGGCAGCCCUGCAGGAAUCCUGAUGAGAUUUCAGGUGACCGCAGGGAGUGGAGAUGGAUGAUUCAUUUCUCGGUUACAUACCUGAUGAGGAAUGGAGCUGGCUCAUCGUCCUAAGCCACUCAAGCAAGGAAGAUGGAACCCCGGGCAGCACAGGGGCAGGGAACUUGGUGCAGGAAUGCUGGAUGAUGUCACCAGUGCAAGGCAGAAUGUGGUAAGGAUUGUGGUAUUUUAGCAUUUUUCCACCUUAUGUCUUGGAGUAGGAAGUAAUAGAACGUGUGCGUGCUUCAUAAAUAUUUCUCUGGAACUUGUUUCAAGAUAGAAGAAGCAAGUUUCUUGUCUCCAUCAUCUCAACCUAAUUUUAAAAAAGAGGCUUCCAAACUCAUUUGAGCAACGACAACGACGCAGAACAAAUGCGUCAUUUUUGAUGGCAGUCAUUAUGAAAGGAAAAACAUUUCCUUACACCUGUUUCGCUGUGUUUGUUCAAAAGAACUGCUCAGUCCUUAUCGCUUCAGGUUGCAUAGGUUGUUGCACAACGAAAGUAGCUGCAAUAUUCCCGCUACCGUGAAGACUUCCAGUGGCGCAUUUCGUGAUUCACGUUUACUCUCUGCUUUCAUUUGUGGACCACAGGCUGAGAUGUGCUGAGCAAUGUUUAACAGCUGGAGCUCCUGUGGUGGGAAAAGCAGGGAAACACACCUGAUGGGUCAAGGUGUCAUCACAUCUGAUUAGCCAUCGUGGCUAAUUUCAGGUUACCGAUAUGACAGCACUAAAUGUGAGGUUGGGAAGAGAGGAGCCCAUGGAUUAGCUCAGAAGCUUGUGUCCGCCACCGCCAGGACACCACCGAGCAGGGAAGGAGGCUAGCAAGAGCCCCGCAGCCCGAACCCUGGUUGUUUCUUUCUGUUUUAUGCUAAGUGCCCUUCCUCAAACAUUUCCAAACGGCAUAGAAAGAAUACAUAUGGUGCUCACUACAAGCAUGCACAGAAAUAAAAGUGAAAUACAGACAAUGAAAAAUUCACUUUUUGAGAGAAGUCUUCCUAGAUGAUGGAGAAGGAGCUAAUUGUGUGUGUGGCGUGGUAGGUAACAAGCCCAUUUUUAAGAAGACGAAAUAGGAGUUCCCGUUGUAGCUCAGCGGUUAAAGACCUGAAGUUGUCUCCUGUAAGGAGAUGGGUUCCAUCCCUGGCCUCGCUCAGUGGAUUAAGGAUCCAGCAUUGCCACAAGUUGCAGCGUAGGUCACAGGUUCGGCUUGGAUCCACUGUGACUGUGGCUGUGGCGUAGGCUGAAGCUGCAGCUCUAAUUUUGACCCCUGGCCCAGGAACUUCC